rnacentral:rRNA from 1 species
GCAAGUCUGGUGCCAGCAGCCGCGGUAAUUCCAGCUCCAAUAGCGUAUAUUAAAGUUGUUGCAGUUAAAAAGCUCGUAGUUGAAUUUCGGGAUCAGUACGCCGGUCGUGCCUUCGGUAUGCACUGGUGUCACUGGUUUCUCCCUUCUGAAGAACCAUCAUGCCAUUCAGUUGGUGUGGCGGGGAAUCAGGACUGUUACUUUGAAAAAAUUAGAGUGUUUAAAGCAGGCUCGCGCUUGAAUACAUUAGCAUGGAAUAAUGAGAUAGGACGUUUGACCCUAUUUUGUUGGUUUCUAGGAUCGACGUAAUGAUUAAUAGGGAUAGUUGGGGGCAUUAGUAUUCAAUUGUCAGAGGUGAAAUUCUUGGAUUUAUUGAAGACUAACUACUGCGAAAGCAUUUGCCAAGGAUGUUUUCAUUAAUCAAGAACGAAAGUUAGGGGAUCGAAGACGAUCAGAUACCGUCGUAGUCUUAACCAUAAACUAUGCCGACUAGGGAUCGGAUGAUGUUAAUUUUUUAAUGACUCAUUCGGCGCCUUACGGGAAAC